rnacentral:lncRNA from 1 species
AUGGCCGCCCUCAGACCCCCUGUGAAGCCCAAGAUCAUCAAAAAGAGAACCAAGAAGUUCAUCCGGCACCAGUCAGACCGAUGUGUCACGAUUAAGCGUAACUGGCAGAAACCCAGAGGUAUUGACAACAGGGUUGGUAGAAGGUUCAAGGGCCAGAUCUUGAUGCCCAACAUUGGUUAUGGGAGCAACAAAAAAACAAAGCACACGCUGCCCACUGGCUUCUGGAAGUUCAGUCUACAACGUCAAGGAGCUGGAAGUGCUGCUGAUGUACAACACUUCUUACUGCGCUGAGAUCGCUCACAGUGUUUCCUCCAGGAACCGCGAAGCCACCACAGAAAGAGCCGCCCAGCUGGCCAUCAGAGUCACUGACCCCCAUGCCAGUCUGCGCAGUGAAGAAAACGAG